rnacentral:lncRNA from 13 species
CUGAAGCCCGGUGGGGCGGCGAGUAACAUAAACAUUAGCUGAUGCUAAGAAUGACACCUGAGCAUAGUAGAUGUGUUAACACUGUUCACCAAGUAAACGGGUGUUUAAACAAUAACACUGUUCACCAAGUAAAGGGGUGUUUAAACAAUAGUUUACACUGUUCACCAAGUAAAGGGGUGUUUAAACAAUAGUUUACACUGUUCACCAAGUAAAUUGGUGUUUAAACAAAUUAAAGGGGUGUUUAAAUAACAGUUUACGAGCGUUUACCCUCCUACAUCCCUGGGUCGUCGUAUUCAUUAAAGCAGCAAAUGAAGAAAACUAACAGAAACGAGGAGAGGGACUAUCUGGCCUUGUCCUGUCAGAAAUGCUCAUAUCCGGUUUUCCAUUGCAAAACAUUUUCCAACAUUGUCCAUUGCGUGUCUUAAUGAACAGGACCCUGAUGCUGUAUGCCAACACAGGGACAGUGGCUAGUUGUCUGGUCUGCUCCUUUACACUGUACAAAAGUGAUUAGUGAUAUUGAUAAUCAAUAAUGUGUCAAUGUUCCAGGCUGGUUGGUAAAUGAUGAUACUGGUAAUACUCCAAACAGGAGGAUGUGUAUUUAGCGUUUUCAAAAGUUUAUAUGGAAAUAUCAUUGUCUGUCAUUGUCACUCUAACCACGAUCGAUGUUUCUAUAUCAUGUCAGUCUGUGGUAUUAACUACGAUCGAUGUUUCUAUAUCACAUCAGUCUGUGGUAUUAACUACGAUCAAUGUUUCUAUAUCACAUCAGUCUGUGGUAUUAACUACGAUC